GUCGAGUUAGUUUAUUGAGAAUUGGACUUUUGUAAAGUCUAGGUAUUAGUCGGCU
rnacentral:tRNA from 1 species